rnacentral:rRNA from 1 species
UACGUAGGGGGCAAGCGUUGUCCGGAUUUAUUGGGCGUAAAAGGCUUGUAGGUGGCCACGCCAAGUCGGAUGUGAAAUCUCCCGGCUCAACUGGGAGGGGUCAUUCGAUACUGGCGGGCUCGAGGCCGGUAGGGGGAAGUGGAAUUCCAGGUGUAGCGGUGAAAUGCGUAGAUAUCUGGAGGAACACCGGUGGCGAAGGCGGCAUCCUGGACCGGCAUUGACGCUGAGGCGCGAAAGCUAGGGGAGCAAACGGG